rnacentral:RNase_P_RNA from 2 species
AGCUGGUGCGAAUCUCGCACGCGGCAGGACAUGUCCAAAACGGGUGGGAAAUUCGGUGGUUCUCUCCAUCCACCUCUUCGGAGGAAAGUAUGCUCUUGAGAGCUUCCUGAGCGUACAAAUUUACGCUGGGCACCGCCAUCAGAAAUCAAGCAGUCCAUUGGGUUGCAUGGGAGGCGGUGCGGAUGGUUGGUCUUUCAAUGUGAGGAAAGGCUGUUGAGUGCAAUUUGCGGCCAUGGCACCCGAUACCGAUCAUUGUCGAGAGUU